rnacentral:tRNA from 1 species
GGUUAAUGUAGCUUAAUAAUUAAAGCAAGGCACUGAAAAUGCCUGG